GCCACUUGUAUAUUCGUCAACAGUGUAGUUAGCUGUAUCUGUUAGCCGAAGUUCGUCGUAAUUGGACUGCUAACUGAGCUGCAACUGCUUCUAUCUGGUUGGGAUGACUCUCACACCAUGGUUUGAGCUUCUCAGUGAGAAGAAACUUUUAGAGCAUUUGUCAGGGCCUUCACCAGACCCCUCCGCAGCCGAGCUGAUCGUCAAGUUGAUCGCGUACGCGCCGCGACCGGCCACGGCCGCCGCCGCCGCCACCACUAAUGCCGAGGUGGAGGUGGUGCCGGCCGGCGACGGC